rnacentral:snoRNA from 1 species
UUUUUCUUUUCUUUGUGCGGCAGCCAAAGCUAUUACCGUGUUGCUUGUCUGUUCUAUUUAUCCUAACGAGUUGGCGAGCGUCAAGCUUUUGGCGAGAUUAAAAUCUUUAACACAACCGGUCAUCUUAGCGCCCUUUCAUUAGAAACUUUUAUUCAACGUAUUUAGUGAGGGCCGGAAGACCAAACAUUU